rnacentral:rRNA from 1 species
GAUGAACGCUGGCGGCGUGCCUAAUACAUGCAAGUCGAGCGAACGGACGAGAAGCUUGCUUCUCUGAUGUUAGCGGCGGACGGGUGAGUAACACGUGGAUAACCUACCUAUAAGACUGGGAUAACUUCGGGAAACCGGAGCUAAUACCGGAUAAUAUUUUGAACCGCAUGGUUCAAAAGUGAAAGACGGUCUUGCUGUCACUUAUAGAUGGAUCCGCGCUGCAUUAGCUAGUUGGUAAGGUAACGGCUUACCAAGGCAACGAUGCAUAGCCGACCUGAGAGGGUGAUCGGCCACACUGGAACUGAGACACGGUCCAGACUCCUACGGGAGGCAGCAGUGGGGAAUCUUCCGCAAUGGGCGAAAGCCUGACGGAGCAACGCCGCGUGAGUGAUGAAGGUCUUCGGAUCGUAAAACUCUGUUAUUAGGGAAGAACAUAUGUGUAAGUAACUGUGCACAUCUUGACGGUACCUAAUCAGAAAGCCACGGCUAACUACGUGCCAGCAGCCGCGGUAAUACGUAGGUGGCAAGCGUUAUCCGGAAUUAUUGGGCGUAAAGCGCGCGUAGGCGGUUUUUUAAGUCUGAUGUGAAAGCCCACGGCUCAACCGUGGAGGGUCAUUGGAAACUGGAAAACUUGAGUGCAGAAGAGGAAAGUGGAAUUCCAUGUGUAGCGGUGAAAUGCGCAGAGAUAUGGAGGAACACCAGUGGCGAAGGCGACUUUCUGGUCUGUAACUGACGCUGAUGUGCGAAAGCGUGGGGAUCAAACAGGAUUAGAUACCCUGGUAGUCCACGCCGUAAACGAUGAGUGCUAAGUGUUAGGGGGUUUCCGCCCCUUAGUGCUGCAGCUAACGCAUUAAGCACUCCGCCUGGGGAGUACGACCGCAAGGUUGAAACUCAAAGGAAUUGACGGGGACCCGCACAAGCGGUGGAGCAUGUGGUUUAAUUCGAAGCAACGCGAAGAACCUUACCAAAUCUUGACAUCCUUUGACAACUCUAGAGAUAGAGCUUUCCCCUUCGGGGGACAAAGUGACAGGUGGUGCAUGGUUGUCGUCAGCUCGUGUCGUGAGAUGUUGGGUUAAGUCCCGCAACGAGCGCAACCCUUAAGCUUAGUUGCCAUCAUUAAGUUGGGCACUCUAAGUUGACUGCCGGUGACAAACCGGAGGAAGGUGGGGAUGACGUCAAAUCAUCAUGCCCCUUAUGAUUUGGGCUACACACGUGCUACAAUGGACAAUACAAAGGGCAGCGAAACCGUGAGGUCAAGCAAAUCCCAUAAAGUUGUUCUCAGUUCGGAUUGUAGUCUGCAACUCGACUACAUGAAGCUGGAAUCGCUAGUAAUCGUAGAUCAGCAUGCUACGGUGAAUACGUUCCCGGGUCU